rnacentral:rRNA from 1 species
AGUGAACGCUGGCGGUAGGCCUAACACAUGCAAGUCGAACGGCAGCACAGAGGAGCUUGCUCCUUGGGUGGCGAGUGGCGGACGGGUGAGGAAUACAUCGGAAUCUACUCUGUCGUGGGGGAUAACGUAGGGAAACUUACGCUAAUACCGCAUACGACCUACGGGUGAAAGCAGGGGAACUUCGGACCUUGCGCGAUUGAAUGAGCCGAUGUCGGAUUAGCUAGUUGGCGGGGUAAAGGCCCACCAAGGCGACGAUCCGUAGCUGGUCUGCGAGGAUGAUCAGCCACACUGGAACUGAGACACGGUCCAGACUCCUACGGGAGGCAGCAGUGGGGAAUAUUGGACAAUGGGCGCAAGCCUGAUCCAGCCAUACCGCGUGGGUGAAGAAGGCCUUCGGGUUGUAAAGCCCUUUUGUUGGGAAAGAAAUCCAUCUGGUUAAUACCCGGGUGGGAUGACGGUACCCAAAGAAUAAGCACCGGCUAACUUCGUGCCAGCCGCCGCGGUAA